AAUGAACGCUGGCGGCAGGCCUAACACAUGCAAGUCGAACGGAUCCUUCGGGAUGAGUGGCGGACGGGUGAGUAACGCGUGGGAACAUACCCAAAGGUACGGAAUAGCCUCGGGAAACUGGGAGUAAUACCGUAUGUGCUCGAAAGAGGAAAGAUUUAUCGCCUUUGGAUUGGCCCGCGUUGGAUUAGGUAGUUGGUGGGGUAAUGGCCUACCAAGCCGACGAGCCAUAGCUGGUUUGAGAGGAUGAUCAGCCACACUGGUACUGAGACACGGGCCAGACUCCUACGGGAGGCAGCAGUGGGGGAUCUUAGACAAGGGGGGAAACCCUGAUCUAGCCAUGCCGCGUGAUCGAUGAAGGCCUUAGGGUUGUAAAGAUCUUUCAGGUGGGAAGAUAAUGACUGUACAACCAGAAGAAGCCCCGGCUAACUCCGUGCCAGCAGCCGCCGUAA
rnacentral:rRNA from 1 species